rnacentral:rRNA from 1 species
CUUGCCAAAUUAUAAGAGGUCCAGCCUGCCCAGUGACUCUGUUCAACGGCCGCGGUAUCCUAACCGUGCGAAGGUAGCGUAAUCACUUGUUCUUUAAAUGAGGACUAGUAUGAAUGGCCCCACGAGGGCUGCACUGUCUCCUUUUUCUAAUCAAUGAAACUAAUCUCCCCGUGAAGAAGCGGGGAUAACCAUAUAAGACGAGAAGACCCUAUGGAGCUUAAAACAACUGAAACAUUUGCUUUUACCUUAACUGCCCCCGAGCUCUUUAUUUUACCUAAGCAUUUUUAUUUCUAGUUUUAGGUUGGGGUGACCACGGAGCAAAACUAAACCUCCACGAAGAAAUGAACACUUUUUAAGCCACAAACUACUUUUUUAAGCAUCAACAAAUUGACCUUCAUUGACCCAAUAUAUUGAUCAACGAAC